rnacentral:rRNA from 1 species
CCUACGGGUGGCAGCAGUGGGGAAUAUUGCACAAUGGGGGAAACCCGGAUGCAGCGACGCCGCGGGAGUGAAGAAGGAAUUCGGGAUGUAAAGCUCUAUCAGCAGGGAAGAAAAUGACGGUACCUGAGUAAGAAGACCCGGCGAACUACGUGCCAGCAGCCGCGGUAAUACGUAGGGGGCAAGAGUUAUCCGGAGGUACUGGGUGUACAGGGAGCGGAGACGGCAGGGCCAGUCUGGAGUGAAAGGCGGGGGCUCACCCCCCGGACUGCUCUGGAAACUGUUCGGCGGGAGGGCAGGAGAGGUAAGUGGAAUUCCUUUUGUAGCGGUGAACUGCGUAGCUAUUCGGAGGCACCCCAGUGGCGCAGGCGGCUUCCUGGACUGUAACUGCCGUUGAGGCUCGAACGCGUGGGGAGCAACCAGGAUUAGAUACCCGAGUAGUC